GGGCGCGUAGCUCAGUUGGUUAGAGCGCUCGCUUCACACGCGAGAGGUCCGGGGUUCAAAUCCCUGCGCGCCCACCA
rnacentral:tRNA from 1 species